GGCGUAGACUGGGACAGCCUAAGAAAGCCUCAGGGAGAGGAUGUCGGAGAAAUAAAUGGAAGGAAAGGGGAAACCAUUUCAGACCCAGAGACCUAGUGAGCAAAAACAGAGCUCAUGUGACCUGGUGGCUCAUUAAGGUUCCAUGACUGCGUGUGAAUCAUCCAACUUGAAAUGAUUCCAGGAACCAUGAGUUUGAGAACUUUCUCUUCGGGCAGAAAGCAGGUGUGAAAGAUGGAACCCUGGCAUGCCUUUGGGAUGGGAUUUCUGCAGAUGUGCUCCAAGGAGCUGGCCCUAUUCGGCAAGGUGUCUUUGGGGCUCCCUGGAUUUUCUGCGGCUGUCACCCAUGCCUGGAAUGAUCUCCCCCCUCACCCACUGGCUUCCCUAUCCCUUCUCAUUGCCAGGUGCAGAGUGUGUCCAGCACAUCCCUCCCAGGCAAAGUACAGCCUCUCCAGCUCUGGCUGCAUCUCGGUGCAGAGCAACAUGGGUGUGAAGGGGGCACAAGGGCUCUCGCCUCUCCCACAGGACUCUGAACACACGCUCUAGACACAUUCUCUCCUUCUUGUCCUUACGCCAGCAUGUUGGGGUUCCCCAAGAAGGUGAAUCUUCAAGUGGGGAUGCUCCCGUUCUGUAAAAUGGGAACAAUAAUAGCAUCUACUAAGAGUUGUUGUCAAAGUCAAAUAAAGUAAUCAU
rnacentral:lncRNA from 1 species